GACGAACGCUGGCGGCGUGCUUAACACAUGCAAGUCGAACGGAAAGGCCCUGCUUUUGUGGGGUGCUCGAGUGGCGAACGGGUGAGUAACACGUGAGUAACCUGCCCUUGACUUUGGGAUAACUUCAGGAAACUGGGGCUAAUACCGGAUAGGAGCUCCUGCUGCAUGGUGGGGGUUGGAAAGUUUCGGCGGUGGGGGAUGGACUCGCGGCUUAUCAGCUUGUUGGUGGGGUAGUGGCUUACCAAGGCUUUGACGGGUAGCCGGCCUGAGAGGGUGACCGGCCACAUUGGGACUGAGGUACGGCCCAGACUGCUACGGGAGGCAGCAGUGGGGAAUAUUGCACAAUGGGCGGAAGCCUGAUGCAGCAACGCCGCGUGCGGGAUGACGGCCUUCGGGUUGUAAACCGCUUUCGCCUGUGACGAAGCGUGAGUGACGGUAAUGGGUAAAGAAGCACCGGCUAACUACGUGCCAGCCGCCGCGGUAA
rnacentral:rRNA from 1 species